AUUGAACGCUGGCGGCAGGCCUAACACAUGCAAGUCGAGCGAGCGGCGGACGGGGGAGAAUUGUAUGGGGGCUGCCCGAUAGAGGGGGAUAAGUACUGGAAACGGUUGCUAAUACUGCAUCUUGUCGGAUAACCCAUAUGGGAGGAGCUAGUUGGUAAGUUAAUGGCUUACAUAGGCGACGAUCCCUAGCUGGUCUGAGAGGAUGAUAAGCCACACUGGAACUGAGACACGGCCCAGACUCCUACGGAGGCAGCAGUGGUGAAUAGUGCACAAUGGGCGCAAGCCUGAUGCAGCCAUGCCGCGUGUAUGAAGAAGGCCCUAGGGUUGUAAAGUACUUUCAGUCGGGAGGCGUUACCGACAGAAGAAGCACCGGCUAACUCCGUGCCAGCAGCCGCGGUAAUUC
rnacentral:rRNA from 1 species